AAUGAAGACUAGACCUCACAAAAUAAUGAUCCUCCUCACACAAAAAACUUGGCUACAUAUCCCUUGUCUGCUAGCACUUUCCCCUUUUUUUUCUUUUUCCUUUUUCCCUUUUCUGUCGUUUCGGAGAUUUUCAAAACUACC
rnacentral:ribozyme from 1 species